UACGGAGGGUGCAAGCGUUAUCCGGAUUCAUUGGGUUUAAAGGGUGCGUAGGCGGCCUUGUAAGUCAGUGGUGAAAUCUCCUCGCUUAACGAGGAAACUGCCAUUGAUACUGCAGGGCUUGAGUACAGUUGCUGUGGGCGGAAUAUGACAUGUAGUGGUGAAAUACAUAGAGAUGUCAUAGAACACCGAUUGCGAAGGCAGCUCACAAAACUGUAACUGACGCUGAGGCACGAAAGUGCGGGGAUCAAACAGG
rnacentral:rRNA from 1 species